UACGGAGGAUCCAAGCGUUAUCCGGAAUCAUUGGGUUUAAAGGGUCCGUAGGCGGUUUUGUAAGUCAGUGGGGAAAGCCCAUCGCUCAACGGUGGAACGGCCAUUGAUACUGCAAGACUUGAAUUAUUAGGAAGUAACUAGAAUAUGUAGUGUAGCGGUGAAAUGCUUAGAUAUUACAUGGAAUACCAAUUGCGAAGGCAGGUUACUACUAAUAUAUUGACGCUGAUGGACGAAAGCGUGGGGAGCGAACAGG
rnacentral:rRNA from 1 species